rnacentral:rRNA from 1 species
GGGCGUAAAGCGAGCGCAGACGGUUGAUUAAGUCUGAUGUGAAAGCCCGGAGCUCAACUCCGGGAAUGGCAUUGGAAACUGGUUAACUUGAGUGCAGUAGAGGUAAGUGGAACUCCAUGUGUAGCGGUGGAAUGCGUAGAUAUAUGGAAGAACACCAGUGGCGAAGGCGGCUUACUGGACUGUAACUGACGUUGAGGCUCGAAAGUGUGGGUAGCAAACAGGAUUAGAUACCCUGGUAGUCCACACCGUAAACGAUGAACACUAGGUGUUAGGAGGUUUCCGCCUCUUAGUGCCGAAGCUAACGCAUUAAGUGUUCCGCCUGGGGAGUACGACCGCAAGGUUGAAACUCAAAGGAAUUGACGGGGACCCGCACAAGCGGUGGAGCAUGUGGUUUAAUUCGAAGCAACGCGAAGAACCUUACCAGGUCUUGACAUCCUUUGAAGCUUUUAGAGAUAGAAGUGUUCUCUUCGGAGACAAAGUGACAGGUGGUGCAUGGUCGUCGUCAGCUCGUGUCGUGAGAUGUUGGGUUAAGUCCCGCAACGAGCGCAACCCUUAUUGUUAGUUGCCAGCAUUCAGAUGGGCACUCUAGCGAGACUGCCGGUGACAAACCGGAGGAAGGCGGGGACGACGUCAGAUCAUCAUGCCCCUUAUGACCUGGGCUACACACGUGCUACAAUGGCGUAUACAACGAGUUGCCAACCCGCGAGGGUGAGCUAAUCUCUUAAAGUACGUCUCAGUUCGGAUUGUAGUCUGCAACUCGACUACAUGAAGUCGGAAUCGCUAGUAAUCGCGGAUCAGCACGCCGCGGUGAAUACGUUCCCGGGUCUUGUACACACCGCCCGUCACACCAUGGGAGUUUGUAAUGCCCAAAGCCGGUGGCCUAACCUUUUAGGAAGGAGCCGUCUAAGGCAGGACAGAUGACUGGGGUGAAGUCGUAACAAG